AUACGUAGGGUGCGAGCGUUAAUCGGAAUUACUGGGCGUAAAGCGUGCGCAGGCGGUUAUGUAAGACAGAUGUGAAAUCCCCGGGCUCAACCUGGGAACUGCAUUUGUGACUGCAUGACUGGAGUGCGGCAGAGGGGGAUGGAAUUCCGCGUGUAGCAGUGAAAUGCGUAGAUAUGCGGAGGAACACCGAUGGCGAAGGCAAUCCCCUGGGCCUGCACUGACGCUCAUGCACGAAAGCGUGGGGAGCAAACAGGAUUAGAUACCCUAGUAGUCC
rnacentral:rRNA from 1 species